GGGGUUCACAACUAAUUGAUCACAACUAGUUAUAGAUUUCUUUAUUCCCUUUCCACUCCCAUUGCUUGACUUGACUAGCCUUAA
rnacentral:Y_RNA from 1 species